AUACUUCUUCCCUAAAUGGUGAGUUCCUCAGAGGAGGGCUCAACUCUUGCUCAUUUUGAAUCCUAGCUCUUUGAAGAUUCAGUGGAUGUUUUUUAAAUUAAAUUCCAAAAAAGCAUUUUCUCUUUUGGCUACCUUGUAUCCAAAGUUUGCAAAUAUCCAGAAGAGUAUAAGGAGGCAGAGGGUGCAGUGACCCUACAAGCAGGUCCGGACAGACUGUCUCUCUGGUCAGCAGCGGCUCUCUGAGUGUCAUUGAAUGAGGCUGGAGCUGUAGCUGAAUCCGUAACUGCUCGACCGGGACAGAGCCUGCUGGGCCUCCUCACUCUGCUCCGAGGCGUAGCUGGGAAAUGUCUGUGCACGUGACAUCUUCGAGGAACCAAACCCGUGACCUGAGAGGAGGGAAGGAGGAAGAGGUGUGCUAAGAAAUAGACUCAGAAAAGCAAGGGGAUAUAUAUAAACAAGCAAACAACCAUGCAAACAAAGCAGAAGGCUGCAAAUCCUCAAAAGAGAGCUCCAGGAGGAACCCAGUCGAGACAGUCGGCUAUCACAGAAACGUGGAACAUGUCGUCCUGUUUCUCAGGUGGCGCUGUCCUUCCUGAGGUCACGCACCUAAAGCCACUCAUCAGCAGAAUCUUGAGUGUGGAAAUUCAAUCAUGCAACUACUAUUCGUCAAACACCUGCUGAAACAGUUCAAAAGACCACAGGGGAGACACAUGAAUGGAAAGUACAGUCCCUGACUUCACAAGCCAUCCACAGGCUGCUUUGGGAAUGAGGGUCGGACAAGGAUAGACAACGAGGAGCAGGAAAGAAGGGUGCAUGCAGGGGCCUCUGGGUGGCUCAGCGGUUGAGCGUCUGCCUUCAGCUCAGGAUGUGAUCCCGGGGUCCUGGGAUCGAGUCCCACAUCAGGCUCCCUGCAGGGAGCCUGCUUCUCCCUCUGCCUAUGGC